GGUGCUUGCAUCAUGAUUUACAUUUGAGUGAGUGGCGAACUGGUGAGUAACACGUGGGAAACCUGCCCAGAAGCGGGGGAUAACACCUGGAAACAGAUGCUAAUACCGCAUAACAACUUGGACCGCAUGGUCCGAGUUUGAAAGAUGGCUUCGGCUAUCACUUUUGGAUGGUCCCGCGGCGUAUUAGCUAGAUGGUGGGGUAACGGCUCACCAUGGCAAUGAUACGUAGCCGACCUGAGAGGGUAAUCGGCCACAUUGGGACUGAGACACGGCCCAAACUCCUACGGGAGGCAGCAGUAGGGAAUCUUCCACAAUGGACGAAAGUCUGAUGGAGCAACGCCGCGUGAGUGAAGAAGGGUUUCGGCUCGUAAAACUCUGUUGUUAAAGAAGAACAUAUCUGAGAGUAACUGUUCAGGUAUUGACGGUAUUUAACCAGAAAGCCACGGCUAACUACGUGCCAGCAGCCGCGGUAAUACGUAGGUGGCAAGCGUUGUCCGGAUUUAUUGGGCGUAAAGCGAGCGCAGGCGGUUUUUUAAGUCUGAUGUGAAAGCCUUCGGCUCAACCGAAGAAGUGCAUCGGAAACUGGGAAACUUGAGUGCAGAAGAGGACAGUGGAACUCCAUGUGUAGCGGUGAAAUGCGUAGAUAUAUGGAAGAACACCAGUGGCGAAGGCGGCUGUCUGGUCUGUAACUGACGCUGAGGCUCGAAAGUAUGGGUAGCAAACAGGAUUAGAUACCCUGGUAGUCCAUACCGUAAACGAUGAAUGCUAAGUGUUGGAGGGUUUCCGCCCUUCAGUGCUGCAGCUAACGCAUUAAGCAUUCCGCCUGGGGAGUACGGCCGCAAGGCUGAAACUCAAAGGAAUUGACGGGGGCCCGCACAAGCGGUGGAGCAUGUGGUUUAAUUCGAAGCUACGCGAAGAACCUUACCAGGUCUUGACAUACUAUGCAAAUCUAAGAGAUUAGACGUUCCCUUCGGGGACAUGGAUACAGGUGGUGCAUGGUUGUCGUCAGCUCGUGUCGUGAGAUGUUGGGUUAAGUCCCGCAACGAGCGCAACCCUUAUUAUCAGUUGCCAGCAUUAAGUUGGGCACUCUGGUGAGACUGCCGGUGACAAACCGGAGGAAGGUGGGGAUGACGUCAAAUCAUCAUGCCCCUUAUGACCUGGGCUACACACGUGCUACAAUGGAUGGUACAACGAGUUGCGAACUCGCGAGAGUAAGCUAAUCUCUUAAAGCCAUUCUCAGUUCGGAUUGUAGGCUGCAACUCGCCUACAUGAAGUCGGAAUCGCUAGUAAUCGCGGAUCAGCAUGCCGCGGUGAAUACGUUCCCGGGCCUUGUACACACCGCCCGUCACACCAUGAGAGUUUGUAACACCCAAAGUCGGUGGGGUAACCUUUU
rnacentral:rRNA from 1 species